UAGGGAAUCUUCGGCAAUGGACGGAAGUCUGACCGAGCAACGCCGCGUGAGUGAAGAAGGUUUUCGGAUCGUAAAGCUCUGUUGUAAGAGAAGAACGAGUGUGAGAGUGGAAAGUUCACACUGUGACGGUAUCUUACCAGAAAGGGACGGCUAACUACGUGCCAGCAGCCGCGGUAAUACGUAGGUCCCGAGCGUUGUCCGGAUUUAUUGGGCGUAAAGCGAGCGCAGGCGGUUAGAUAAGUCUGAAGUUAAAGGCUGUGGCUUAACCAUAGUAGGCUUUGGAAACUGUUUAACUUGAGUGCAAGAGGGGAGAGUGGAAUUCCAUGUGUAGCGGUGAAAUGCGUAUAUAUAUGGAGGAACACCGGUGGCGAAAGCGGCUCUCUGGCUUGUAACUGACGCUGAGGCUCGAAAGCGUGGGGAGCAAACAGGAUUAGAUACCCUGGUAGUCCACGCUGUAAACGAUGAGUGCUAGGUGUUAGACCCUUUCCGGGGUUUAGUGCCGUAGCUAACGCAUUAAGCACUCCGCCUGGGGAGUACGACCGCAAGGUUG
rnacentral:rRNA from 1 species